GUGUCCAUAGCUCAGUGGUAGAGCAAUUGACUGCAGAUCAAUAGGUCACCGGUCCGAACCCGGUUGGGCCCU
rnacentral:tRNA from 1 species